CUCUUCUUCUUAUUUCCCCGAGCCCGAUUCUUCUCCCCGCCGAACCCGAUUUCCCCUUCCUCUCUCUCGCGAUCUGGAUUUGUCGCCGGACACCGAGCAUCUACGCCAACAGCCCGAUCUUCCUUCUCCUCCAGCGUGCCUCGGCCGAGUCUGCCUCCUCCCUCCCAUUCUCGAAGAGUGGAGUCGUUCUCCUCUCUCACGAUUGUAUCCACCAUCGGCCGUCGAAUCCGAGCGGAGCAACAAAGAGUUCGUCAAGGAGGUUCAUCACUUAUUUCUCUCCACCAGAUCUCAAUUCUUUGUCUUCGUCGGCAUGGAUCUGUGGCCGAUCCUCCUCUCGAUUUCCUCUGCUCGAUGCCCUAGCAUUGUUACCGAUUCCCUCUGUUUUGGAUCGGCAUCGAUGUGGUUGGAGAGGAAGCUAUGAAUCUAGAUUUGUGCUUCGGCGAGAAUUGGACUACGGGUGGCUAGCUGUAGCUACCAAAUUCUUCUUUCCGACUAUCUUUCUACCGCUAGGGGUGGUGAGGGACUCUCCUCCUGCUUCGACAUGAAGCUCUCAGCUAGAAUUUUCCCAAGCAGUCUUGUAUCUACCAAACAGUAUGGCUUUGGCUAGAAAUCAGAGAUCUAUUCAGGGGUAGCUUGUAGAUGGUUGGUGUGUCGCUUGGAGUAUCUUGUCUGUCGGGUCCUACGUCACAUUCGAAGACGACUUCAAGUUUUCGUUUAUGUUUUACUUGUAUUUGGUAUUUGGUGUAUUUAGUGUUGUGAUUUUAUUUAUGUUGUUGUAGUUGUUGUAUAAAGCCUAGCCGACUAGUAGUAUUUUUAUUUGUUUCGUA